UAAACCGUAUAAAAAUAUUGUAAAUACUAAUUACUACCACAUUUAAUUAUGUAGUCUUACUGUUGAAGAACACCAGCGACGAUUAGCUUCAAGAAGCAGCACAAAAUCACAAUCUAGAAGAAACGGAAUUUUUAUCAGACCGGUAAUUCAAGUAGAAAAAGUAUAUUUUUAAACUUCUUAAGUUUAGGAAUAUCUAAGAAUGAUCAUUUAUCGAGAUCAAUUAUAUAUAAAAAAUUACAUCUUAACAAGUACUUUAAAAUAUUUGUUUAAGAAAAGAAUUCACUUGUGAUUUAUGAGCGAACUUUACGUAAAUUUUGAAGGGAAUCUAACGAAACUUUCACGACGGUCCUGCGAAGAAUAGAACAUCUGCAUCCAGCUCAUCCUUAUAUACGACGCAUACAGGGUGAUCCUAAGAAUCUUUGAGCCAUCCUCUAUUGGGUAGAAUAUAGAAGUAUCCAAAGUUGAUUCUACAACAUGGCAACCGAGUAUGUCCGAUUUUUGCCGAGUCGAUUCAAAGUUCACUCUGAUGUCUUGUGAACGUGAACGACAUAGUUCACCAUUUUCUUCAAAUGUACAACUCCUAGCUGAAGUCUCUAUUGUCUAUUUCCUAAAGUCCUAAAUAAUCUGUGAACAUAUUACUUGAUUAAUAUAGUCGUUUUGAUUAAAUCUUGUGUGGUAUGAUUCAAACUUUUCAGUUACCCGGUAUAUACGAGAACGUUCACUUACAUUUUUUGGGUCCUCCUUGAUAUAUCGGGGGAUGCGCAACGUGAAGGCGUGGGAACGUCAUCACCUGUGCCGAUGUGCCUCAGCUUCUGAUACAAUAGCGACAAAUCACUUGUAAUCUAGUAUUAAUUAGAAAAUAAAAAAAUUGGAAUAUUUAA